rnacentral:rRNA from 1 species
GACGAACCGUACGAACGUUAUUCGGAAUCACUGGGCUUAAAGGGUGCGUAGGCGGCUUAUUAAGUCAGGGGUGAAAGACGGUGACUCAACCAUCGCAGUGCCCUUUGAUACUGAUGAGCUUGAAUGGACUAGAGGAGGCGGAAUGUGACAAGUAGCGGUGAAAUGCAUAGAUAUGUCACAGAACACCGAUUGCGAAGGCAGC